UAAGCGUACCGGAAGGUGUGCUUGGAACGAAAUGUAGUUUAAUUAAAACCCCUUGCUUACACCAAGAUUAUAUCUGUGAGACCCAGAUCAUUUCGAGCCUAACCUUUAGCCCACUACCACCUAAUAUUUUAUUAACAAAACCCCACCCCUAAAACAUUCUUACACUUUAGUAAAGGCGAUCGAAAAACUUCUAAGAGCUAUAAUUAGUACCGCAAGGGAACAAUGAAAUAGAAAUGAAAUAAUCCUAAAGCACCAUAAAGUAGAGCCCACACCUCGUACCUUUUGCAUCAUGAUCUAACUAGUCCAAUCAAGCAAAAAGAACUAUAGUUUGACCCCCCGAAACUAAGCGAGCUACCCCGGGGCAACUUAUAGAGCCCACCCGUCUCUGUGGCAAAAGAGUGGGGAGACCCCCAGGUAGAGGUGAUAAACCUACCGAGCCUAGUUAUAGCUGGUUCCUCAAGAAAAGGAUAUUAGUCCUACCUUAAAUAACUGCAACACACCAAAGUUACCCACAAAUUUAAGAGCUAUUCAAAUAAGGUACAGCUUAUUUGACACAGGAUUCAACCUACUAAUAAGGGUAAUGACCACCAACGUGCACAAGUAGGCCUAAAAGCAGCCACCUUUAAAAUAGCGUCAUAGCUUUAUCACCCUAAUACCUAAAUUCCCAAACCAACACAAAACCCUAACACACUAUUGAGCGACUCUAUGUCUCAUAGAAGCCACUAUGCUAGAACUAGUAACAUGAUUAACAUCUCUCUAGAGCAAGUGUCCGUCAGAACGAAACCCCCGCUGAUCAUCAACGCCCAUGAACCCCUCGUACCAACGCAACAAGAAAAUCGUACUACCUUAAACGUUAACCUAACACAAGAGCCCUACGAGAAAGAUUAAAAGAAGUGGAAGGAACUCGGCAAAAUUUAGCCCCGCCUGUUUACCAAAAACACCGCCUCUUGCAAAAAAUAAGAGGUCCAGCCUGCCCAGUGACCCUGUUCAACGGCCGCGGUAUUCUGACCGUGCGAAGGUAGCGUAAUCACUUGUUCUUUAAAUAAGGACUGGUAUGAAUGGCAUCACGAGGGCUUUACUGUCUCCCACCUCCAAUCAGUGAAACUAAUCUCCCCGUGAAGAAGCGGGGAUAUACAUACUAGACGAGAAGACCCCAUGGAGCUUUAGACAUGCGACGCCCACCAUAAAUUAAUUAACCUAAUCGCUAGUCUUCGAUUGGGGCGAUCACGGAGUAUAAUUUACCCUCCACGUUGAAAGACUAUAUCUUAGCCUAAGACUACCAUCUUAAGCAUCAACAACUUGACACCCAUUGACCCAGUUAAUCUGAGCAACGAACCAAGUUACCCUGGGGAUAACAGCGCAAUCCACUUCAAGAGCCCAUAUCGACAAGCGGGUUUACGACCUCGAUGUUGGAUCAGGGUACCCCAGUGGUGCAGCCGCUACUAACGGUUCGUUUGUUCAACGAUUAAAACCCU
rnacentral:rRNA from 1 species